rnacentral:lncRNA from 1 species
AACACCAUUCAGUAAACAAAAUAACACCAUUCAGCAGUAAAAAAAACACCAUUCAGUACAAAAAAACACCAUUCAGAAAUAAAAUAUAACACCUCUGUAUCAUCUUCUUCACUUCCGGCACCACCACCACUGCCACUUCCGGCACCACCACUGCCGAUCCAACACCACCACCACCGCCGCCGCUCGAACCACCACAAUAAACAUGCGAUCUUCAUCAAUCGGAUCAAAAACCACAAAA